rnacentral:sRNA from 1 species
GAGCAUCGUAGCCACGACGCAGGGCAGC